rfam:Eutrema salsugineum unplaced genomic scaffold scaffold_5, whole genome shotgun sequence.
CUUGUAUAUUUGUGCUUGUAGUCUGAAAAAACUCAGAAAUUGUCAGUGUUCUCAUCAGCUUCAUCUCAUCUAACCAUGAGACUGGAGUUAAACAAGUACACUACAUUA